rnacentral:tRNA from 1 species
GGUGAGGUAGUUUAUAAAAAUGUGAGUUUGUCAAUCUUGAGAUACCUUUAUGGUUCUUACCU